CCUUCUUGAUGGAGGGGAGACCACGGCAGCACAGGCUGCUGCAUUUCAGACCUACAAUGUUUUGGACCCAGGAGGAAUCCCAGACUUUUGAAAUGAAGCAAGGAACCUCCAGCAGCUGCCAGGUUUCCGAUACUUGCUGCUGUGUCUGAAGGUGGUCAGUUAUUCAGAGAGAGCUCCCAUGCCAUGGCCUGUGCUGCUGACACAGGAAGAAGGUGGUAUGUUGAUCAUUAUUGAAACCUGAAUCAGUGGACAACGGGCAAAACUACAAACCAUCCUGGGCCAUCACCACCUGAGCUGCACUUCUUCAGCGGCACCUGCUAGAAUCUAUGCUAGCUAAAGACAACUAGAAUGUCUGCUGUAAGAAUCAC
rnacentral:lncRNA from 1 species